rnacentral:rRNA from 1 species
GAUGAACGCUAGCUACAGGCUUAACACAUGCAAGUCGAGGGGCAGCACAGUGUAGCAAUACAUGGGUGGCGACCGGCGCACGGGUGCGUAACGCGUAUCCAACCUUCCCGAUACUCUUGGAUAGCCUUCCGAAAGGGAGAUUAAUACAAGAUGGUGUUUCACUUUCGCAUGUUAUUGAAACUAAAGAUUUAUCGGUAUCGGAUGGGGAUGCGUGACAUUAGAUAGUAGGCGGGGUAACGGCCCACCUAGUCUACGAUGUCUAGGGGUUCUGAGAGGAAGGUCCCCCCANACUGGAACUGAGACACGGUCCAGACUCCUACGGGAGGCAGCAGUGAGGAAUAUUGGUCAAUGGUCGGAAGACUGAACCAGCCAAGUAGCGUGAAGGAUGAAGGUUCUAUGGAUUGUAAACUUCUUUUAUACGGGAAUAAACCUCCACGUGUGGGAGCUUGUAUGUACCGUAUGAAUAAGCAUCGGCUAACUCCGUGCCAGCAGCC